CGCAGUCUGGUGUGAACUCCGGAAGCAGGAAACCUCUCCUGGGAGAUUCUGAGAUAACACUGCCGACAGAGGAUGAGCUCAGUGUCCGAGCCUGUGACCCACACUGGGGUCAGUCCCGUCGCCCUGUGUCCAACGGCUCUUUACAAGUCCCAGGGCAAUUGGCGGUUGUAUAGCCUGGGCCACCUUCCCUCUGAAGAAGCCACCACCACCUGAGAAAACAGAUGACACUGACCCAUCCUCGGUGUCUCCAAGCCCUCCCGAGCACUGACUACAUCUGUACCUGCACAGUGAGGCCCCAGGAUCUGAGAUAAGCUGCGCUUUCUGAAUGCUCACACCCACAUCUGGAAGGUUUUUCUCUCCCACUGUUACUGGGCUGUCGAUAGACACUUCUUGCUUCUCUGAGGAAGACAGUUUCUAGGACUCUCCCCAUCUUCCUUUUCACUUGAUAUGGAACCUGCUCUGGGUGUAGAAGUCACG